AAUCUUUUGCUUAUUUUGUCACUAAUAGUACGUCACAAACAUCACUUUCACUCAUUAUAAGAUCGCUUCAUAGCAUUACGUCUGAUCAUAAUUGCACUUGUAAUUGUUUUAAUUUCUAUCUUGUAUUACAUUUCAGACUACCGGUAUUGUACAAAGCAGACAGAAGCUUGUCUUUCCAGUCAGGGGCAAAUGUCGAAAUGUGAACUGCUUCGAAUACUCAGGCGACAAUGUGUAUGUUGCGGUUACAAUAAACUCUGAUGAUGUGUAUGUGAAGAUGCGUCUCCAUAUAUGUUACACAAAACCUGAUCAUAAUGCGGAUGCAAGAGUAACAUAUCCUUUAAUACAAAACGGAUGUGUGGUAGAUCCCGAAACUCAUAUUUUUUCACAAGGAACACACGAGACCCGGUUUGUCUUCAGUGCAUUUGAAUUCCCCCAGACUCAUAACAGCGUGUAUAUUUUCUGUAACUCCACGUUCUGUAAGACUACGGACACUAGCGACAUGUGCACGCAAAUUUGUCACGGCUCACCGUCACUUAUGGGACGCUCACUGUGGACAUUGGAAUCAGAGCGCGAGAAAAAAUCAAAUUACCUUAAUGUAUUUCCCUAAUACAUGUAUAAAUAAAAUGAUUAAUAUAAUUGACUUUGUUGAAUAUACUUUUGGUUAACCUGAUUUUAUUUUGAAGACCCUGUCGAAGUAGUGAAUUCAGGUAAACAGCAUCAGUACUUUUUGUAAUCCAGAAUCAUUUUGAACAUUUUCUUAGCAGUUUUGGCUCUUUGCUUUUUUAUCUUCGGUUAACAAAU